CUGGUGUGGUAAACGUGAGUUCCUCAUCUUUCCGAGUGCUGCUUGCUGUCUCGUAGGGAUCCAGAUCAUGUUCCGUCUCUGAGCCUCAGCUUUCUCCUGCUGGGCUGGUAACGCCUUUAAGGAUAAUGAAUACACGCGUACCUUGGAAAUACUUCGGGUUUGGUUCCAGACCAUGGCAAUGAAGUGAUUACUGCCACAAAAUAUGACACCAUGGAAGAGGCCUGAAGGAGACACUAAAAGCUAUGCAGAGAUAGUACUGAGAGCAAGCGUCCAGGAUAAAGGCUGCACUGAGAAGAAAAACUGAGGACCUAGGGAGAGCCACUGAAGUGUUUAUUGAUAGGCUGAGUGAAACAAAUACAGAAUGAUGACUUUUCCCUCCAUUUUUUAUUUUUUUAAAAUACCUCUAUUGUGGUAUGGUUCCUGUACAGUAAACUACAUGUAUUUCAGACGUACGCUUUGAUGAAUUUUGAUAAUGUAUACACCUCCCCUAUUUUUUAAAAAUUGAAGUAUAGUUGAUUUACAGUAUAUUGUAUU